UUCCCAUAAUCACUGGUAUAAAUUCGCCUCUUUGAUAAUUAAGACGUGACAUUAAGUUUUACGAGCUCUUACAGCAAAGUGCAACGUUAAGGUUUACGACUGGUAUAGCCAUCCUGAUAAAUCAUGUUUCACAUCUUCUGGAAAACUUUGAUCAUCCUAUCCUAUUACAUGAUAACAUUGAUCAUGUUUUUCAACCGUAAUAGAGAUGACAGCUACAUCCCGCUGAGAUUCUAAUCAAUUCUUUUGGAUUUGUAAGUGCUCGCCUUUGGACCACUCGAUGUUCAACUACUAAAUCAAGAAAGACAUGGAAUCGAAGAGCUAAGGAGACAUAUAGAAUCUUGUUUAACCUGAUGAUCGACUCACCAUGCAUCUACCUUCUACUGUCUAUAACGUCAAACUCGCAACGGGGUUGAUGUUUUCGAGAAGAGAAAUGAACGAAAAGAAAUACAAAAUUUAAAGCAUAUCCACAAGGCAUGGUAUAACUCCUUUCGAUUGAGGUGAUAUCGUUUCAAAGACCAUAAAUCCACGUCGUAGUUGUCGUUGUCGUCGUCGUAGUCGCGAAACUAAAGAAAGAAAGAAACGAAGCGACAAAGUCUUUGGAUAGACAUACGGCGCACGUAUCAUUGUAUGCAUAGUAGACAGCUGGGCAAUGAACGAAACAGGGAAACGUCCUUCAUAGUGGUCACUUCGCGUUACACUUGCCCGGUUUAGACGACUUAUGACGUGGAUUUACGAGGCACCUGGAGAGUGUAACCGAUCGCACGUAUAACUCCCUUGACAUUCCUUCGAGUUCCCUCGCUAUCAGGCAAAUCAAGCAACGCGUGCCUUCUCGUGAACAGUAUUUGGCUGAAGAAGGAGUCAAACUAUUAGUUGGAAAUUAGCUGGUUUGCGUUAAGAAUAGAUUAAUUAUUCCGGUCAUAGUUGACCUAAUCGUAUUCUAUAACAAUAAAACUAAUCAAAAUAUUAUAGCUUCUUUAUUUAUACAAAACUAAAUUAAUAGAAAAAUGGCUUUCAUCAAGAUAAGGGAUUAUAUGAAUAUCACAGAAUUAGUAUAACUUAAAUGGAUUUAAUAUUGGCGAUUAUUGGUAUUCUCAUCUUUCCUAUCCGAGUUAUUUGCUAAUGCGAAUCCAACUGACUCGAUUUUCUUUCCGAAGAAAGAAAACGUAUCGGUCUCUUCUUCUCCAUGACGUCCACCAGCAGGAUGAGGAUCGCGACGCGGAGGAAUGCUCGAAUCAUGCUCCCUAAUUCUUCGAUCGAACCGAACGAUCGAGAGUAAGAGAAGCCAAUGGCGUGCACAUGUACGAGAAAGACAAAGUCCUUGGCAAGCGACACAGAAGGCAUCCCGCGGAGCAGGUAGCUUCGGAGAGACUUUCUGUCAGCAUUCAACAUUAUCUAAGCCUUUAUCUACCUCUUCGUCUAUCUAACCACCCCGCUCCCCCUUUUCAACUCUGCCUGCCAUCUUCUCCUCUGUCUCUCUGCGGCUUCUAGAAUGUCUGUAUACGUCGCGUGUAUAUAGCCGACCGUUUAUGUAAUAGCAGGUAGGCCUGCCCUAAACGUAAGGAUUCCACCUGUGGCAAAGGAUCUCCCUCGUAAAUUCACAUCGUGGGAGAGUACCUUCACCUUGCGUGGGGUCCAACCACUCGAUGAAUUUUAAUUACUCCAUCGUAGAAAUUUUGAAGAAAAUUCAAGCCUAAUGAAUAACGGUAAUAAGAAAUAUCGCGAGUAACUUGUUUUUAAAAUUGUUUCUAAAACUCAUUCUCGUGGGAGAGUGCACGUCUCUUCUGUGAGGUCUACUCGGAAGACAAAGGUCAGUUUCAUCGUACUAUGGACCGACAAAAUCUUUUGUUUGUCUCUUUGUGACGUACAAAAAAGAUUAAAAAAUAAAUAAUAGGUAGGUUUGAAAUGUCGCCAUUCGAUCUUUUAGUUAAAAUUCCUUGAAAUAUUUGGUGUCGAUAUUCUUAUCUAUUUUACUACCCGAUAUCUUUGUCAACGAGACAGUGGAAUGUAGUUUAGAUGAUCAAUGUCAUUGACGAUACGGCCUUCUGCUUACGAAAUAACUUUAGUUCAUCGUUGCUGCGUGCCAGAAGAAUUUUUAAAUCAAUCGAUAAGUAGGUGCGAUGGAUUCAAAGAAUCCAAUGAAUACUAAUUGUAAGCGUUCUCUCUUUCUCUCUCUCUCUCUCUCUUUCUCUUCGUCACAAAUUGGAUUAAGUUCUGUACAUAUUCAAGAAUCUUAUACAAUCGAUUCAAUAUCCAAUUAUCGUAUCAUUGGAAUUAAGUGAUAAAAGUUUUUUUACUCCUUAAGAUACUCUUAUUAUAAGCUUUCGAUGCUAAUUAUAAUAUUCCCACUUCAUCUCAUAUCAACAAUAUUCUACCGAUAAGAGUCAAUUGAUAAUAUCGAUUGAAAGUCUCACGAUAUCGUGAAAAGCGAAAGAUCGUUAGAGGAUCGUUAGAUUAGAACGCGAAUCUUCCUUGAUGACGGCUCGGUUCGAUGGGGAAGCUCACCUCGUUGUGUUUUUGCUCUGCAUAAAUGAUGAGCCCGGGUAUUUUAAUGAAGACAUUCCAUGGCUGCUUGCCGGCUUCUUGGCGUACGAGAAAGAGAGAAAGAGAGAGAGAGAGAGAUAGAUAAAGUGAGAAAGAGAGAGAAGGAGAGACAGAAGCUCUGCGAAGCUUAGGUCGAAUAGAUAUGUUCUUGAUCAUCAGCUUUUGCCUCCUGCUAUUAACGUAUUGUUAUCUUCAAUCAAUGGAAUAUACAAAGAUGGACGUCACAAAAAUAUUUUCACUAACCUUCUCUUUCACUCUCUCUCUCUCUCUCUCUCUCUCUUUUUCUUACAGCUUUUUUCCCAAUUAGUACAAAUACGAAUGCAUACAUUCAAGUACCAAUUGCAUACAAAUACGAAUCGACAGACAGGCAAGACUUUCCAGUGCUUAGCCAUCUUCGUAUACCCGAUGAAGUCUUGACACCUUAAAGGCUCAAUCGACGCUUUAUCUCGAUUCCCUUUUCAAGAGUAAGCAUACUCGCUUGGUUAACCAUCGUAAAUUCAAUUCGAGUUAUUCGCAUAAGAACGAAAUCGUGAAUACUAUCGUGGUUUUCGAGGUGCCCACAAGAGAAACAACAUUCGUGUGCUUAGCUCGUCGAAUGGUUGAAAGGAUAAAACUAGCUUGGCGAAUAAAAUGGCGUGAACACGCUAAAGAAAAAG